CAGUAGCCGCGGUAAUACGUAGGGUGCAAGCGUUGUCCGGAAUUAUUGGGCGUAAAGAGCUCGUAGGCGGUUUGUCGCGUCUGCUGUGAAAUCCCGAGGCUCAACCUCGGGCUUGCAGUGGGUACGGGCAGACUAGAGUGCGGUAGGGGAGAUUGGAAUUCCUGGUGUAGCGGUGGAAUGCGCAGAUAUCAGGAGGAACACCGAUGGCGAAGGCAGAUCUCUGGGCCGUAACUGACGCUGAGGAGCGAAAGCAUGGGGAGCGAACAGGAUUAGAUACCCCUGUAGUCCCUGUCUCUUAUAC
rnacentral:rRNA from 1 species